rnacentral:rRNA from 1 species
UACGUAGGGGGCUAGCGUUGUCCGGAAUCAUUGGGCGUAAAGAGCGUGUAGGCGGCCCGAUAAGUCCGCUGUGAAAGUCCAGGGCUCAACCCUGGGAUGCCGGUGGAUACUGUCGGGCUCGAGUCCGGAAGAGGAGUGUGGAAUUCCUGGUGUAGCGGUGAAAUGCGCAGAUAUCAGGAAGAACACCAAUGGCGAAGGCAGCUCUCUGGGACGGUACUGACACUGAGACGCGAAAGCGUGGGGAGCGAACAGG